UACGUACUCCCUCCGUUCGGAAUUACUUGUCUCGGAAAUGGAUGUAUCUAGAACUAAAAUACAUCUAGAUACAUUCAUUUCUGCGACAAAUAAUUCCGAACGAAGGGAGUAGAUG
rnacentral:pre_miRNA from 1 species